UACAGAGGGUGCGAGCGUUAAUCGGAAUUACUGGGCGUAAAGAGCUCGUAGGCGGUUUGUCACGUCGGGUGUGAAAGCCCGGGGCUUAACCCCGGGUCUGCAUUCGAUACGGGCUAGCUAGAGUGUGGUAGGGGGAGAUCGGAAUUCCUGGUGUAGCGGUGAAAUGCGCAGAUAUCAGGAGGAACACCGGUGGCGAAGGCGGAUCUCUGGGCCAUUACUGACGCUGAGGAGCGAAAGCGUGGGGAGCGAACAGG
rnacentral:rRNA from 1 species